rnacentral:rRNA from 1 species
UGGGUGAUCUGCCUUGCACUUCGGGAUAAGCUUGGGAAACUGGGUCUAAUACCGGAUAGGACAGCUGUUUAGUGUCAGUUGUGGAAAGUUUUUUCGGUGCAAGAUGAGCUCGCGGCCUAUCAGCUUGUUGGUGGGGUAAUGGCCUACCAAGGCGUCGACGGGUAGCCGGCCUGAGAGGGUGUACGGCCACAUUGGGACUGAGAUACGGCCCAGACUCCUACGGGAGGCAGCAGUGGGGAAUAUUGCACAAUGGGCGGAAGCCUGAUGCAGCGACGCCGCGUGGGGGAUGAAGGCCUUCGGGUUGUAAACUCCUUUCGACAGGGACGAAGCGUAAGUGACGGUACCUGUAUAAGAAGCACCGGCUAACUACGUGCCAGCAGCCGCGGUAAUACGUAGGGUGCGAGCGUUGUCCGGAAUUACUGGGCGUAAAGAGCUCGUAGGUGGUUUGUCGCGUCGUCUGUGAAAUUCCGGGGCUUAACUCCGGGCGUGCAGGCGAUUACGGGCUGACUUGAGUGCUGUAGGGGAGACUGGAAUUCCUGGUGUAGCGGUGAAAUGCGCAGAUAUCAGGAGGAACACCGAUGGCGAAGGCAGGUCUCUGGGCAGUAACUGACGCUGAGGAGCGAAAGCAUGGUAGCGAACAGGAUUAGAUACCCUGGUAGUCCAUGCCGUAAACGGUGGGCGCUAGGUGUAGGGGGCUUCCACGUCUUCUGUGCCGUAGCUAACGCAUUAAGCACUCCGC